rnacentral:rRNA from 1 species
GACGAACGCUGGCGGCGUGCUUAACACAUGCAAGUCGAACGGAAAGGCCCUGCUUGCAGGGUACUCGAGUGGCGAACGGGUGAGUAACACGUGGGUGAUCUGCCCUGCACUUCGGGAUAAGCCUGGGAAACUGGGUCUAAUACCGGAUAGGAGCCAUUUUUAGUGUGAUGGUUGGAAAGUUUUUUCGGUGUAGGAUGAGCUCGCGGCCUAUCAGCUUGUUGGUGGGGUAAUGGCCUACCAAGGCGGCGACGGGUAGCCGGCCUGCGAGGGUGGACGGCCACAUUUGGACUGGGAUACGGGCCAGACGCCUACGGGGGGCAGGAGUGGGGAAUAUUGCACAAUGGGCGCAAGCCUGAUGCAGCGACGCCGCGUGGGGGAUGACGGGCUUCGGGUUGGAAACUCCUUUCGCUAGGGACGAAGCUUUUUGUGACGGUACCUAGAUAAGAAGCACCGGCUAACUACGUG